rnacentral:rRNA from 1 species
UGGAGCAUGUGGUUUAAUUCGACGCUACGCGAAGAACUUACCUGGGCUUGAACUGCUGGUGGUAGAAGCCCGAAAGGGUAACGACCCGGAGCAAUCCGGGAGCCAGUAGAGGUGCUGCAUGGCUGUCGUCAGCUCGUGUCGUGAGAUGUUGGGUUAAGUCCCGCAACGAGCGCAACCCUUACCCUUAGUUGCCAGCGGGUAAUGCCGGGCACUCUAAGGGGACCGCCCCGGAUAACGGGGAGGAAGGCGGGGAUGACGUCAAGUCAGCAUGGCCUUUAUGUCCAGGGCUACACACGUGCUACAAUGGGCGAUACAGAGGGAAGCAAGGCCGCAAGGUAGAGCUAAUCCCUAAAGUCGUCCUCAGUUCGGAUUGCAGGCUGCAACUCGCCUGCAUGAAGUCGGAAUCGCUAGUAAUCGCGGAUCAGCUACGCCGCGGUGAAUACGUUCUCGGGCCUU